GCGACGGGCGAUAUGUACAUACUGAUAAAUUUAUCAAAAAAACUUAUUAAUCAUUUUUUACACCCUAAUCCAACCUUCUUUUCAUUUUAAAUUUCAUAAAACUUUACAGCCUCAUAUUUCACUAUAAAAGUAACUCAUUCAUCCCUAAUAAUAACUACAUUUUGACUUGAAUUUCUUAGAUUUUUAUCUAAUAAAAUUUAUUUUUAAUAUCAAAUAAUAAAUUAAACAGCAAUACAUAAAAAACAUAUUAGAUAAAAUUUAUUGAGUAAUAUCAAUUUAAAUAAACAAGUUCCUCAGAAUUUAACCAAAUACCGCCAAUACCAUUAAAAUUCAUAAUGAAUUUCAAAUAAAAUUUAAUACAUAAUCUUAAUUAAAAUAAUAGGGUAUCUAA
rnacentral:rRNA from 1 species